rnacentral:rRNA from 1 species
UUACGUUUGGUGGGCCGGACCGGCGCGACGGGUGAGUAACGCGUAUGACCAACCUACCUAUCGAGGAGGGAACUAACCCGGACGAAAGUCGGACUAAUACCGCAUAAAACAGGGGCACCGCAUGGUGAUAUUUGUUAAAGAAAUUCGCUGAUAGAUGGGCAUGCGUUCCAUUAGGUAGUUGGUGAGGUAACGGCUCACCAAGCCGACGAUGGAUAGGGGAACUGAGAGGUUGGUCCCCCACACUGGUACUGAGACACGGACCAGACUCCUACGGGAGGCAGCAGUGAGGAAUAUUGGUCAAUGGGCGGGAGCCUGAACCAGCCAAGUCGCGUGAAGGAAAGAAGGAUCUAUGGUUCGUAAACUUCUUUUGCAGGGGAAUAAAGCGCAGGACGUGUCCUGUUUUGUAUGUACCCUGAGAAUAAGGAUCGGCUAACUCCGUGCCAGCAGCAGC